GGGGGUGUGGCUCAGCUGGGAGAGCGCUUGCUUCGCAUGCAAGAGGCCGGCGGUUCGAAUCCGCUCACCUCCA
rnacentral:tRNA from 1 species